CCGCUCCACGGCCGCCAGCGCGCGCUCGGGCUCCCCGGCGCCGCCCUCCGCCACGCGCCGCGCCAGCGCCGCCGCGGCCCCCGCCGCCACCGCGCGCGCGCGGUUCUCCUUCGCCAGGCACAGCGCGAACAGGGCCCGGACCCCGACGCGCACGGCGCGGGCGUUGUUGGCCUUCUCCUCCUCCGCCAGCGCCACCAGCCCGUCCAUCACGCCCUCGGCGCCGCCCAGCGCAGCCCGGGCCUCGGCCCCCGACGCCGACGCCACGGCCUCCACCACGGCGCCCGCGUUCACCCUCGCCUCCAGCGGCCCGCCGCCGCCGAGGACCUUGCCGAGCCUGGCCACCCGCUCCUCCCUCCCGACCACCUCCGCGGCCUCGGCCUCCCCGAGCCCCACCAGCGCGAGCACCGCCAUGGCCUCGGUCUCGAGCUCCUCGCUCGCCGCCCCGGACCCGGACCCGGACCCGAAGGCGGCCUCCACCAGCGCGGCCCUCGUCUCGUGCGUGGCCAUCACCAGCCUGUUCUUGUCCGACUCCCUGGCCAGCGCCCUGAGCCUCCGCAGCGCGGGGAGCCCCGGGCCCUGCGCCACGAGGGACCGCACCAGGUCCGGGUCGGCGGGCUGCUUCGGUGUGGGGAUGCGCUCCACGCCCAUGGACCGGUGCGCCACGCACCACUCCUGGAUCAGCCGGCGGAGGGUGUGGUUGGGGAUGAGCGUGAAGUCGGCGAGCGCCGUGCGGGUCACGGGGCAGGUGGUGUUGCCCGUGGCUACCCAGGACUCGAUGCUGGCGCGGUCGUAGGUCUGCCCCGUCGACACCGUCACGGGGUCGCGCAUCAGCUCCAGGGAGAUGGGGCACCUGAAGUACCACGGCACCUGCACCCCCGCCGUGUCCAGGCACAGACCCAGCGGCACGCUCCCCGGCAUUACAAGCCCUGCUGCUGUCUUGGAUCUUGGCCGACGAGCGAACUAGCACUAGCAGCUAGCUCGCGCUGGAGAGAGACGAGAGGUGGUUGAGUGAGUGGUGGUGGUGGGUUGGUGCCCUUGGUGGGUGGAGAGGAGGCUGCUGCUGACUGCAGGUGCGGUGGAGGGAGGAGACCGGCCGAUUCCAUUGGGAGGACGAAUGGCGCCGGGUAUAAGUAGGCGGGAGGUGGCCAGCACGUGUGCGUGGUGGGGGUCACUCCUUGCUGCUACUCCAACGUACGUUCGUGCCGGAGGCCGGAGCUGGGAGUGGGAAUCCUUGGAGUACCAUUACGG
rnacentral:misc_RNA from 1 species